rnacentral:rRNA from 1 species
GUGGAUUAGAUACCCUAGUAGUCCACGCCGUAAACGAUGGAUGCUAGAUGUUUCCGGUAUUGACCCCGGAGGUGUCGUAGCUAACGCGUUAAGCAUCCCGCCUGGGGAGUACGGCCGCAAGGCUAAAACUCAAAGGAAUUGACGGGGGCCCGCACAAGCGGUGGAGCAUGUGGUUUAAUUCGACGCAACGCGAAGAACCUUACCUGGGUUGGAACCCUCCAGAAGUUUGCAGAGAUGCAGAUGUGCCCGCAAGGGAAUUGGAUGUCCAGGUGCUGCACGGCCGUCGUCAACU